UGUACGUACAAGCAGUGGGAGCACCUUCGGGUGUGACUGCGUACCUUUUGUAUAAUGGGUCAGCGACUUAUAUUCUGUAGCAAGGUUAACCGUAUAGGGGAGCCGCAGGGAAACCGAGUCUUAACUGGGCGUUAAGUUGCAGGGUAUAGACCCGAAACCCGGUGAUCUAGCCAUGGGCAGGUUGAAGGUUGGGUAACACUAACUGGAGGACCGAACCGACUAAUGUUGAAAAAUUAGCGGAUGACUUGUGGCUGGGGGUGAAAGGCCAAUCAAACCGGGAGAUAGCUGGUUCUCCCCGAAAGCUAUUUAGGUAGCGCCUCGUGAACUCAUCUUCGGGGGUAGAGCACUGUUUCGGCUAGGGGGUCAUCCCGACUUACCAACCCGAUGCAAACUACGAAUACCGAAGAAUGUUAUCACGGGAGACACACGGCGGGUGCUAACGUCCGUCGUGAAGAGGGAAACAACCCAGACCGCCAGCUAAGGUCCCAAAGUCAUGGUUAAGUGGGAAACGAUGUGGGAAGGCACAGACAGCCAGGAUGUUGGCUUAGAAGCAGCCAUCAUUUAAAGAAAGCGUAAUAGCUCACUGGUCGAGUCGGCCUGCGCGGAAGAUGUAACGGGGCUAAACCAUGCACCGAAGCUGCGGCAGCGACACUAUGUGUUGUU
rnacentral:rRNA from 1 species